rnacentral:rRNA from 1 species
AGUAAAAGUCGUAACAAGGUUUCCGUAGGUGAACCUGCGGAAGGAUCAGUAUUGAUUUGGGCGCGAGCCCUUCUCUGUCCACACCUGUGCACCGUGGUCUCCGGACCUCUUCACAAACCCAGUGUAACGAACGUAUGACAUGAUAACAGAAAUAAAACUUUUAACAACGGAUCUCUUGGCUCUCGCAUCGAUGAAGAACGCAGCGAAAUGCGAUAAGUAAUGUGAAUUGCAGAAUUCAGUGAAUCAUCGAAUCUUUGAACGCACCUUGCGCCUUUUGGUAUUCCGAAAGGCAUGCCUGUUUGAGUGUCAUGAACUCUCAACCUCUCGGGUUUCCGACCGGUUGGAUCUGGGCGUUGCCGUCUGGCUCGCCUCAAAGAUGUUAGCGGACACAGCACGAUCCCUGGCGUAAUAAGUUUCGCUGCGGUGACUGGGACGUCUGCUCACAGCCCCCACUUUAUUUGACUCUGACCUCAAAUCAGGUAGGACUACCCGCUGAACUUAAGCAUAUCAAUAAGCGGAGGA